GCUCCUUAUGCAACAGCUGGAUGACAUCACCGCAGUUAAAGAUGAUGCCAUCAGUGCUGGCCGAGCUGCUGUUGACCAUGACCCUGUACCUCCCAGCGACCUGAAGACAAGACGGAACACUAGGACUAAGGUCUAGGCACGCAUGUUGGUCUGCAUGUUAACAUGCUAUCACACAUAUGACUAUGAGUUGUGUUUGGUCUGUGAAGGAAACCAGAGUCAGGCUACUGGAAACAGAGAGAGAGAGACAGGCUGCUGGAGACAGAGAGAGAGACAGGCUGCUGGAGACAGAGAGAGAGACAGGCUACUGGAGACAGAGAGAGAGACAGGCUACUGGAGAGAGAGAGAGAGACAGGCUACUGGAGACAGAGAGAGAGACAGGCUACUGGAGACAGAGAGAGAGACAGGCUACUGGAGACAGAGAGAGAGACAGGCUACUGGAGACAGAGAGAGAGACAGGCUACUGGACAGAGAGAGAGACAGGCUACUGGAGACAGAGAGAGAGACAGGCUACUGGAGACAGAGAGAGAGACAGGCUACUGGAGACAGAGAGAGAGACAGGCUACUGGAGACAGAGAGAGAGACAGGCUACUGGAGACAGAGAGAGAGACAGACUACUGGAGACAGAGAGAGAGACAGGCUACUGGAGGCAGAGAGAGAGACAGACUACUGGAGACAGAGAGAGACACUCGAAAGAAAACAAGCGAGUUGAGGACAGCAGUCUGUGGUCCGACCAGGCGCCUGGAGCUAAGGGACGGUUGCUGUCCAGCGUUACAUAAUGAUCAGCCUUACUCAUCACUGCUCGGGACAUCCAUUAAGCAAUCUGUAGGCUAGCGAGAGUCCGUCAAUGCAUGUGGCCCUAAGAACAACACAGUAGAGUUGACUAAAUGAGGGUCAGAAACACAGUGAAGGUGAACUCCCACCAGGGCGGCUGGCUGUUCCUCGUCUGAGUCUGAGAUGUUAGAGAGGUCCGUAGCGCCCCAGUCCUCCAGACCCUCACAGAUGGCCACAGAGUGGGCCGGGGGGGGCCAGCCUGCAGGGCCACAACCAUUCAGUCACAGAUUUAGGCGAACACGACCUCAAAGCUUCAAAUCACAGAUCACAGAGGGAUGUAUCCACUGCACACAUCUCCUAUGUCUCAUAUCUUAUCUUAUAUAUCAAAAGAUGUAAAAAAGUAUAUUAAUAUAAGUCUUGAAUUCAGCUAACAAAGUCUUGGAAAGACACUUCUAACCUUAAUGACAACUUUAGAAAUGAAUUACUGAUAUCUGUUAUCCAUCACUCGGGUAUUCAAAAACAAAAGGCUGAAUCAAU
ensembl:lncRNA